GGCGGCGUGCCUAAUACAUGCAAGUCGAACGCAUCCCGCUGAAUUGAAGUGCUUGCACUGAUUUUCAGCAUUGGAUGAGUGGCGAACUGGUGAGUAACACGUGGGUAACCUGCCCAGAAGCGGGGGAUAACACUUGGAAACAGGUGCUAAUACCGCAUAACAACUGAAACCGCAUGGUUUCAGUUUGAAAGAUGGUUUCGGCUAUCACUUCUGGAUGGACCCGCGGCGUAUUAGCUAGUUGGUGGAGUAAUGGUUCACCAAGGCAAUGAUACGUAGCCGACCUGAGAGGGUAAUCGGCCACAUUGGGACUGAGAUACGGCCCAAACUCCUACGGGAGGCAGCAGUAGGGAAUCUUCCACAAUGGACGAAAGUCUGAUGGAGCAACGCCGCGUGAGUGAAGAAGGGUUUCGGCUCGUAAAACUCCGUUGUUGAAGAAGAACACAUCUGAGAGUAACUGUUCAGGUGUUGACGGUAUUUAACCAGAAAGCCACGGCUAACUACGUG
rnacentral:rRNA from 1 species